AUUUGAUAUACCUCAGUCGGUAGAGCAUGAGGCUCUUAAUCUGAAGGUUGUGGGUUCGAGCCCUGCAUUGAGCA